CGGUAUAUGCGUGGCGACUUGAGUUUGAAUCGAACGACGAAUACGACCCAACGCGACUACUAUGACGAUGACUAUGUACUGCGAGUACGUGUGCACGUGCAUGCGCGCUCGCGCACGCAACCGGGCAAACAUAUUCACAAGAUUCGUGUCAAACUUCGAAUGCAGGGAGUGGUCCGAGAAAAAGAUUCGCGUGGAUUUGUAUUAUCGAAAAGAAUAAUAAACAUUUCUUUCGAGUAUUUGUUUACACGAUUUUGACUAUUGAGAUUUAACGUAAAGGAAGAAUAGUGAAGGUUUCGAAGUAAUAUAUUUUGUUUAGUUGAUAUUGAUAAUUGAUAUCUAAUGUUGGAAAAUAUUAAUAUAGUUUUCAAUGAAGUAUUGGUUUAAUUGAGUUUUGUCAGUAAAUAUCAAGUAUUAUAAUUAAGUAGUAUGAGAAGGAAUAAUAAAGUCUGGUCUAUAG